UAUUUUUUUUUUUUAGGAAAAUAGCAAGAUUAUUGAUCGUAGCAUUUGUGUUAUUCAGUAUUGUACUAGUACUUUAUGCCAGUCCACUCAAACACACAGGCAUCACAUCUGGCGCGUAUUACAAACGGUUUUAUGACGAUGCUGAACACGAAAUGAUAACUGAUACUAAGAAAGUGGCAAAAAGGAACGCCAACGCCGAUUUGAUCAAUGAUGCCGAACUCGAAGUGAUGCCUGAUACUAAAAAAGUGGUAAAAAGGAACGCCGGCGCCGAUUUGAUCAAUGUAAUUCUUUCAAUACGUAAGAUAUUGCAACAAACCGAAGGAAAAAAAGGUAAAUUUUCAUUCUAUUCCAUGUUUAAAAUUUAAAGGGUACUCCCCAAUAAUAUGGGUAAAAUGCCCUUAACCUCGGAUUUUGAUAAAACUCACAGGGUAUGUUUAGUACCACCAAAAAAUAUUUUUGGGCCCAUAGCCCGCCCUCUCAGCCAGGGGGGGGGCAAAAAACGAGUUUUUUUGGGGGGGGAUUCUGUAUCAGCGCGUAAUUGAGAUAAAUUUAUUCUGUAAAUGAAUAUAGUUAGAGGAUACAUGAGGGUACCACCCUGAAUUUUUUCAGAAUUUUUCAUCGCAUGGGGGGAGAAGGAGAGACAAAACAAAACUUUAAAUCGACAUUACUCCGGAACGAAAAAACAUACCAAAACGAUUUUUUCGUCAAAUAUGUAUCCUUAGGUCUACUUUCCAUAGAAGUCAUCGCCCGGCCAUUUGGAGUGGUGGGUCACGCUCAAAAGCUCAAAAAACCACCUUUUUUUACGCUUUUCUCCAAAAAUAUGGACAAAUGGUGGAAAUUGAAGAGAACCAAGUUGUUCAGCGUGAAAUUUUACCUCAGAAUUCUGUAAUUGAAAAUUCAUUUAUGCCGCGAGAUCGUAAAACCAGUAAACUACACGUGCAGAAGUAUUUUUGCUUAUAAUGUGUAUGUAUCAAGAUAGCUGAAAGCGUAUAGGUUUUCCUGGGUAACAUAGGUGAAAUGCCCCUGUCCUCGGAUUUCUAAAAUUUUUAUGAAACAUUGUUGGGUAGUGGGUACCUUUAAAAAAAAUGUUGGAGCCAAAACAUUCCCCCCCACCUUGCGUUCCUUGCUCACAAUAGUGAAAAAACGCCUU